rnacentral:misc_RNA from 1 species
AUUACCUAUUUAUGUACUGAGAAUUCCACUGGCCAAACUUAUGCCUGUAAAUCUAUACUCAAACGGAAACUUAUAAGUAAGAAUGACAAGGAUGAUAUGAAGAGGGAAAUUCUGAUUCUGCAGCAUCUUUCUGGACAGCCAAACAUCGUUGAGUUCAAAGGUGCUUAUGAGGAUAGAUAUUCGGUUCAUCUGGUGAUGGAACUUUGUGCUGGUGGG